AAUUAGAAUUAGGGUUUACUUGCCGCGCUUCCCCUUUCCUGCUGUUUAUUCUCAAACCCUAACACAAAGGUGUCUGAUGUCUCCACUCUCCAGCCACCAGCCCACCACACGCCGUCGGCGGAGCCACUCCAGCAUCCACGACUCAGUCACGCAGCCCUUCGCCUUCCCUUAGUCACUCUCUUCCGCCCUUAAGGUUCGUUUAAACCCUAUUGUUGAUCUCAAAGGUAAUCUCAAUGGUAGUAUAGUAAGCUUCUUUCUUUUUUUACUUCAUGUUAGUUAAACUAUGAUGGAGUUCAGAUUAUAAAAAUUUAUAAAUCUAAAACAGAAAAGAACUGCUGCAAUUUGAUUUGAGGUUCAAAAUGGGUAAAAAUUUUAACGCCCAGAAAGAAACAAGAACAAGCUUUAUUAACACCGGCAAACAAUUUGAUUGGAUUGUUUCCCAUUAUUGGAGUGCCAUCCCCUUUAAAGCUGGUUCUUUUUUAACUCUUCAUAAACUCAAUGUUCUAUACAUUCCACAAUAUUAAAAGAAUAAAAGAAGCUAUCAAAUUGAUAACUAAGACUUAAACCAUAAUUGGUGUUGUAGUCACAUUGUUAAGGGAUUGGGUCUGGUUGGGUUGAGUGGCAGGUUAGAUUGGGUUCAGGUUAGAGCGGGUCAAAUUAAAAAUGGAUUUAAUAUGGUUUGGCUCAGAACGGCUCAUCAGCAAAAUAGGUUCCGGUUAGAAUUGGUUCUCAGCAAAAUAGGUAUUUUGCCGGAGAUGGAACAAUUAUGGUCAGGUACACAUUCUGCACUUGAGGGUUUUUUACUGUCACUAGAUAUUAUGAUUCGAAGACUUUUUUUAUUAAGUUUGUACAUGAUACAAUGUGAGAAGAUAGUGGACAAUUUAAAUCUUUAAUUCAGUUCUGAAGGUACUUUGACAUAAUGUAAUAUGCUUUUAUUUUUUUUACCUGUAUCAUACAACCCAUUGAAUUGACUAUAAAAUUUAGGUAUAUACGUUUUCGACCCCCCCGGGGGGGGGGGGGGGCUACCCCCCAAACUUUUCGCUUAGUAGUGUUAUGUAUGUACGUUUCGUAUAGAAAUUUUUAGGUAUGUACGUUUUCGACCCCCCUAGGUAUAUACUUUUAGGUCCGGUGACUUCCGACCCCCCGGUUGAAAUUUUCAAGUUUCGCCACUGCUCAAUCUAGUUCAUUUAAUUGUUGCUGUAAAAUAGAUUCAUGAGAAAAAAACAAUAUUUUUGAAAUUAUAAUCGGAGUCUUUUGAAUAUGAAUGAUUUGGGAGGUUAUACGUUAAAAAUAUAGAGUUCGAGCAACUUUUCACUCAUUUGACACAUUCCACCCAUUUAUUUUUAGCAUGUUUUUAGAAUGACCCGUCUAAGAUUGAGACGCAAGCCAAAAUUGUCUAUUCAUAAACUUGGUUUUAAAAAGCGCGCCUUAGGCGCGCCUAGGCACGAGGCUCAUCAAGGCUCAGGGUCCCUCGCUUUUUUGCUUAGCGCCUAGAGGAAACCCAAGAAGCGGUGCGCUUUAGCGCUUUUUUUUGUAAGGCGACGAGGCACUGAAGUGUGCGCUUUAAGGACCUUAUAUGAAAAUUACACAUUCUAUGUAGAAACAACCAUACUUAUGAAGAUGAAACACCUGCUAUUCAUAAAAAUGGAGAUGAAAUAUUCCAGAAUUAACGAUUUUAAGUGCUUUUGAGAGAAUGGGAUGUAAGAGUGAUAGCUAGACAUCAAAUAGAGAGUGACGAGUUUCAGGGUUUACAUCCCUUUUACUUUUUAUCUUUUGUUUUCACAAAAUUACAGUUUUCAUCCUUGAUGUUAUACUAUUUUAAAAUUCUAACCCAAAACUUUUUCUAACUUAGUUUUUUUCCUUUUCUUUGCUUUUUAUGGAGUUUUAUUGAUUGUACAUAUAACUUCUUAGUUGUACUUUGAGUGUAUAGUAUAGAUUUUGUGCUUCUUAGGUUGUACAUAUGGGUUAUUUAAAUAUUAAAACAUAUAUAGAGGUUACUUGUGUCACAAUUUUAGGUAAAUGAUACUAGAAACCUUUGGGAUAUAUAUAAAAAAUAUAUAUAUAAUUAGCUUGUGCCUAGGGUACGAAAAGCCUGUCGCUUUUGCGCUUCGCGCUUUGCGCCUCGGUUUUAGACCUCGUCGCUUUUGUGUGCCUCUCGCUUUUUAAAACCAAGUUCAUAAAAAAAUGGAUAAAAAAUUACUACCUCUAGUUCCACUAAAUUUGUGCGCCCUCUACAGCUCAUUUAGUUAAACUUAUUUAAUUUGUUAUUUAUGAGUCUUAUUUGCAGCUCACAAAAGAAGCUAGCAAAAAAUGGAUGCUAGGACAUAUAGCAUAUAUAAGGGAAAAAUCUGACAGUCAACUUUUUAAUUAUACGGUCUAUUUAGCAAUACAAACUCGUUACCUAUAGAAAGUUGAUGAACUGUGUGAAAGAUACUCGAAACAGGAAUAUUAGCACCAACAAACUUCCAUUGUCAGGGAGCUAGGGAGCUGUUGGUUUAGCAAGAUGGAUGUCAUAUGUUGCAAACCAGUGUAAGGAGGGUGAAUGACCAAAUGGUGAAUAGGAUAUGAAACUUUGCAUAAUGGGAGUUGGUGAUAACCAUCAACCAUGACACAAUUGAUGAGGAUAUUAUUUAUGAGCAUAAUGAAGUUUCGAGUUUUUAUUUAAAUAUUUGUUAGGUUUUUGUUUUAUAUGUUAGAUAUUUAGACUUAAUGUGACACUUGUUAGACAUUUGGAAGAUAAUAGAAGUUAUGAUAUUAUGCUUUCUAUA